UGGGGAAUUUUGCACAAUGGGGGAAACCCUGAUGCAGCGACGCCGCGUGAUUUAGAAGGCCUUCGGGUUGUAAAAAUCUUUUCUAUGGGAAGAAAAUGACAGUACCAUAGGAAUAAGGACCGGCUAAUUACGUGCCAGCAGCCGCGGUAAUACGUAAGGUCCGAGCGUUGUCCGGAAUCAUUGGGCGUAAAGGGUACAUAGGCGGGUAAGCAAGUUAGAAGUGAAAUCCUAUAGCUCAACUAUAGUAAGCUUUUAAAACUGCUCAUCUUGAGGUAUGGAAGGGAAAGUGGAAUUCCUAGUGUAGCGGUGAAAUGCGCAGAUAUUAGGAGGAAUACCGGUGGCGAAGGCGACUUUCUGGCCAUAACCUGACGCUGAGGUACGAAAGCGUGGGUAGCAAACAGG
rnacentral:rRNA from 1 species